UACGUAGGGGGCAAGCGUUGUCCGGAAUCAUUGGGCGUAAAGAGCGUGUAGGCGGCUCGAUAAGUCCGCUGUGAAAGUCCAGGGCUCAACCCUGGAAGGCCGGUGGAAACUGUCGGGCUAGAGUCCGGAAGAGGCGAGUGGAAUUCCCGGUGUAGCGGUGAAAUGCGCAGAUAUCAGGAGGAACACCGAUGGCGAAGGCAGGUCUCUGGGCCAUAACUGACGCUGAGAAGCGAAAGCAUGGGGAGCGAACAGG
rnacentral:rRNA from 1 species